rnacentral:misc_RNA from 1 species
AAGUCGUAACAAGGUUUCCGUAGGUGAACCUGCGGAAGGAUCAUUAACACGUAUCCAAACGUUAAAACCCACCCCGUGAACCUUCAUCCUGCUCUUGUAACCCGCGUAGUUCGUAAUCUCUGAUAAAUCAUAGCCCGGAAAGUUGUAGUGAUUCAGAGACCUCUGGCUACGUGCGAACAUUGGAACAGUUACAAUCGAGCGGUAGUUCUAUAGGCAAUGUUACAUUGGGUAAAAAAACCGAACAACUGUUAACAAUGGAUAUCUUGGUUCUC